rnacentral:rRNA from 1 species
AUACGUAGGGGGCGAGCGUUGUCCGGAAUUAUUGGGCGUAAAGGGUGCGUAGGCGGUCUUGUAAGUCAGAUGUUAAAGCCCUCGGCUUAACCGAGGUAAGCAUAUGAAACUGCAGGGCUUGAGUGCAGGAGAGGAGAGUGGAAUUCCUAGUGUAGCGGUGAAAUGCGUAGAUAUUAGGAGGAACACCAGUGGCGAAGGCGACUCUCUGGACUGCAACUGACGCUGAGGCACGAAAGCGUGGGGAGCGAACAGGAUUAGAUACCCUGGUAGUCCACGCUGUAAACGAUGAGUGCUAGGUGUUGGGGGAGACAUCCUUCAGUGCCGCAGUUAACACAAUAAGCACUCCGCCUGGGGAGUACGGUCGCAAGACUGAA